UACGGAGGAUGCGCGCGUUAUCCGGAUUUAUUGGGUUUAAAGGGUGCGUAGGCGGACUGUCAAGUCAGCGGUAAAAUACGGGGGCUCAACCUCCGCCCGCCGUUGAAACUGACGGUCUUGAGUGGGCGAGAAGUAUGCGGAAUGCGUGGUGUAGCGGUGAAAUGCUUAGAUAUCAUGAAGAACUCCGAUCGCGAAGGCAAGUGUCCGGGGUGCAACUGACGCUGAGGCUCGAAAGUGCGGGUAUCAAACAGG
rnacentral:rRNA from 1 species